AGCUAGUGAAAUUUAACUAAUAAAAGUGAAGUGAAAUAUCUCAUUAACUUUACAACAAAAAAAUCAACUGAGAGGGCGGUAGUAGCGAUGAGCGAACUCGCACGAACCCAAGCUUAAAACACCGGCAAAAUAUUAUUGAAUAAAUAACCAUAGGGGUGCUAGUCCCGUAAGCAA
rnacentral:rRNA from 1 species